GGCGAAGGUCUGCAGCUUCACUCCUAAAGCCAGAGAGACCACAAACCCACCGGGAGGAACGAACAACUCCAGACGCGCGGCCUUAAGAGCUGUAACACUCACCGCGAAAGUCUGCAGCUUCACUCCUAAAGCCAGCGAGACCACGAACCCACCAGGAGGAACGAACAAUUCCAGAUGCGCCGCCUUAGGAGCUGUAACACUCACCGCGAAGAUCUGCAGCUUCACUCCUGAGCCGGCGAGACCACGAACCCCACCAGAAGGAAGAAACUCCGGACACGCCGCCUUUAAGAACUAUAACACUCACGGCGAGGGUCCACGGCUUCAUUCUUGAAGUCAGUGAAACCAAGAACCCACCAAUUCCGGACACAGCAGGAUCCCACCCACAGAACCGCCAGGUGCACAGCUGCAUAUCCUCAGGGGAAAACUCCCCUCCCCUGCCACCUUACUGAUAGGCUUCACUUCCCAGAGAACUUUCCCAAUCCUGUGCAAUGCCUGAGUGGUACAUUGUAUUCUAUGAGAAUGGCGCCCCCGCCUCCAGAGUUGUGCAACAAGACUUCCAUGAAUCAAAGCCCAUCGCUGGCUGCCUCCUCUAGCCCUGCAUAGCCCAGAAGCUACAACCUCAGCCCAGAUUAGCAGGCUGAGGGGUCAGGAGGCUGUCACUGGAGCUGUUGAGCUCAUGAACACGCCGAAGUUGCUGCGCUCCAGAAAUGUGGAAGUUGGAAUGAAGAGCCACCACUGCUGCCACCAACAUGAAGCUUGACCAAGCAAGCCAAGAAAAGAUGGCCAAGAGCCUCUGCCUUCCUUCUGCCUUCUGCAACGCAAUGAGAAGGCUACUUGGACCUAAAGGAAUGAAUUAGGAAGCGGUCUACUACCAAAGUACAAUGAAGGUCAGUUUUCUUCAUACCUUAAUAUGAAAAACGUUUUAAAAUGUCUCAAUUUCCCUAUGCUAACCUCUGGUCACAGAGGCUUGAGGGCUUCCUAUAGUACCAAAGUAUGACUUGCCAGUUAAAAAGAAAACGAAUUCUUGCCCCCAGGGGUAAAGAUAACAAAUUUAGAACACUAUGACAUACAUCUAUUAAUAUUUGCAGAAGGAGUAUAUGUUGUUACAUUAACAUACAGAAAUUGCAUAGUUGAUCCAGAGGGAAGUCUGGAGAGUACAGGGAUGGAAAAAAGGAGGAGGAUGGAAAAGAAUGGGAACUAAAACUUAGGUGACUACGUUAAGGAUUACCCAUGAGAGCAAGACACAGGAUAAAGUACUGAAAACAAAAAAAAAAACUUAAUGUAACCACUUAUUUGAAUAAAUUGAUUCAUAUGAAUCCAAUUUGAUAGAUAAAAAAAGAUCAAAUUUGAUAAUACCCAGGAAAAUAUAGUACCUAUAUCUGAGUUAUCUCAAUUUAUCUCAACUACCUCAUUGGCAAAAAGAUUCUCUCUCCUAUCACUAAAAACUAAUUUCUUUUUUUUUUUAAAAGGGCUCAAGGGCAGUGACUGCCCCACUCCACCACAGAGUGGGAGAGGGCUGGACCCCAGUGCCACUUUCGGCCACCCCUGGGCCACACGGCCACCCCUAUCCCUGGGACAGGGACUGCAGGGUCACACCCUCAAACAACCACGCCUCAGCCAUACUCGCGCCACACUUUCCAAGCCUGUCCCAGACCAGGGACAAGCCCCUAGUAGGGUUGGGGGAGGAGACUAGAACUAGAGAGGUGGGACACCAAGCAUGGGCACCCCUGCAACCUCGGCCACCCCCAGCAUGGCACCAUGCCCCUGAGCACCGCCAGCUUGGAAAGGCAUCGGAUGGAGACGGGCGCUUUUCGACGAGAUACCCGCCACUUGCUCUGGGAUCCCGGAGAGGGUGGGCAAGCGUGGACCAGGGAAGGAGGCCCCCAGGGGUGUUGGGAGGGAGUUUGAGAGGGAGGAAGUAAGAGAGACGGAUGGCAACGGAGACGCCAGGCAUGCGCGAGGGGGUGGACAAACCCUGUGUCCAGGGCUGACUUUGAAUAGAUGGCAGGGAGGGAGCUGCUCUGCUAUGUAUGAAACCACGACCUAAAAACUAAUUUCUGUAAGAUACACCAUAAAGGUAAAAAUAAUGCAAGUGUUCAGCUGACAGUAAGUAUAAAUGGUACUCAUUUUCAUUCUUAGCUGGUUCUGACCUUUAGCGAUCCAUAGAAAGUACAUUCAUGAAAAUAACCAGUUUUAAGCACACAAACAAUAAAAGCAUAUACACUUGAUAUAAAAUGGCCGUAAGUCAAGUAUUUUCAAAAUGUUUGAUUUCAGAACCUUUGAUGGUUCAUUAAGAUAGCAUAAAAACAACCUUCAGAAGAAAGGAAUAAGCUGAUAUACCCAGCAUCAUAUCUGAUGACACCUUACAACUCAAACAGGGCUUAGACAUUUUUAUCUUUUUUAAAAAUGCACUCUUAUAGCCUGGUGUGGUGGCUUAUGCCUGUAAUCCCAAUACUUUGGGAGGUCAAGGCAGGAAAACUGCUUCAGGCCAGCCUGGGCAACACAGCAAGACCCCACCUCUACAAAAAUUCUUUUAAAAAUUAGCCAGGCUUGGUGGCACAUGCCUUUCCUAGCUACUGGAGACGAUGACGGUGGAGGAUGGCUUGAACCCAGGAGCUCUAUGUUACAAUGAGCUAUGACUGCCCUGCCACUGAACUCUA
rnacentral:lncRNA from 1 species